rnacentral:rRNA from 1 species
UGACGAAGCGACGCCGCGUGGAUGAAGAAGGCCUUCGGGUUGUAAAAUCCUGUCAGGAGUUAAGAAAUAUAAGUUUGAUAAUACCAAAUUUAUUUGACAAAGGCUCCAGAGGAAGCCACGGCUAACUCUGUGCCAGCAGCCGCGGUAAUACAGAGGUGGCAAGCGUUGUUCGGAAUUAUUGGGCGUAAAGAGCACGUAGGUGGAUUUGUUAGUCAGAUGUGAAAGCCUUUCGUUCAACGGAAGAAUUGCAUCUGAAACUACAAACCUUGAGUAUAGGAGGGGAGAGUGGAACUUCUGGUGGAGCGGUGAAAUGCGUAGAUAUCAGAAGGAACGCCGGCGGCGAAAGCGACUCUCUGGCCUAUAACUGACACUGAGUGUGCGAAAGCUAGGGGAGCAAACGGGAUUAGAUACCCCGGUAGUCCUAGCCGUAAACGAUGGGCACUAAGUAGAGG